rnacentral:rRNA from 1 species
GACGAACGCUGGCGGCGUGCUUAACACAUGCAAGUCGAGCGAGAAACUUCGGUUUCUAGCGGCGGACGGGUGAGUAACACGUGGGCAACCUGCCUCACAAUGGGGGAUAGCCUUCCGAAAGGAAGAUUAAUACCGCAUAACACAAAGGAAACGCAUGUUUCUUUUGCCAAAGAAUUUCGUUGUGAGAUGGGCGGGGGGCGCAUUAGCUGGUGGGUGAGGUAACGGCUCACCAAGGCGACGAUGCGUAGCCGACCUGAGAGGGUGAUCGGCCACAUUGGAACUGAGACACGGUCCAGACUCCUACGGGAGGCAGCAGUGGGGAAUAUUGCACAAUGGAGGAAACUCUGAUGCAGCAACGCCGCGUGAGUGAUGAAGGUCUUCGGAUUGUAAAGCUCUGUCUUCUGGGACGAUAAUGACGGUACCAGAGGAGGAAGCCACGGCUAACUACGUGCCAGCAGCCGCCGCGG